ACACACAAGCAGAAGCACCCGCUUCUCACCUGAUUGACGCAUGAGCAGUUGGCAGGUUUGAAUGAAAUAACAAAAUGGCUUUUUGCGGUCAAUUUGUGCGGGUAUAUGCUUAUACCCGCACUUUUUAGUGCCU
rfam:Bacillaceae bacterium MTCC 8252 Contig3, whole genome shotgun sequence.